rnacentral:rRNA from 1 species
CCUACGGGCGGCUGCAGUGGGGAAUAUUGCACAAUGGGCGCAAGCCUGAUGCAGCCAUGCCGCGUGUGUGAAGAAGGCCUUCGGGUUGUAAAGCACUUUCAGCGGGGAGGAAGGCGGUGAGGUUAAUAACCUCAUCGAUUGACGUUACCCGCAGAAGAAGCACCGGCUAACUCCGUGCGAGCAGCCGCGGUAAUACGGAGGGUGCAAGCGUUAAUCGGAAUUACUGGGCGUAAAGCGCACGCAGGCGGUCUGUCAAGUCGGAUGUGAAAUCCCCGGGCUCAACCUGGGAACUGCAUUCGAAACUGGCAGGCUAGAGUCUUGUAGAGGGGGGUAGAAUUCCAGGUGUAGCGGUGAAAUGCGUAGAGAUCUGGAGGAAUACCGGUGGCGAAGGCGGCCCCCUGGACAAAGACUGACGCUCAGGUGCGAAAGCGUGGGGAGCAAACAGGAUUAGAUACCCUUGUAGUC